CGGGAUGUAGCGCAGUUUGGUAGCGCGCCUGCUUUGGGAGCAGGAUGUCGCAGGUUCGAAUCCUGUCAUCCCGACCA
rnacentral:tRNA from 13 species